UGGUUCUGGCAUCGAUGAAGAACGCAGCGAAAUGCGAUAAGUAAUGUGAAUUGCAGAAUUCAGUGAAUCAUCGAAUCUUUGAACGCACAUUGCGCCCGCCAGCAUUCUGGCGGGCAUGCCUGUUCGAGCGUCAUUUCGACCCUCAAGCCCUGCGGCUUGGUGUUGGGGCCCCCUACGGCGGUGUAGUCGUAGGCCCCGAAAUCCAGUGGCGGACCCGACGGGACCCCGAGCGCAGUAGCACCUGUUUCUCGCUUAGGGCGUCGCGGCGGGCACCGGCCGUAAAAACAUCUAUAGGCGCCUUCGGGCCCUGUAGAACCCAACCAAGGUUGACCUCGGAUCAGGUAGGAAUACCCGCUGA
rnacentral:misc_RNA from 1 species